CAGUUUUCUCCUCUGAAUGAAGCUGCAUGUCCUGAACACUUGAAAUUAUCUGACUGAAAAAGAUAGAGCGAGAUGAGUCCAUGAAAGAAACAUGACAGUAAAUUGUAAGAGAAGGAUAAAAAGGAAGUAGAACAUGAUCUGCAUCUGAGCCCACUCAAGGCAGUGAGUGAAGGUGCGUACUGGAAGGUGGCGACCUAGCACAGCAGCGCAAGCCGGAGAGAGGUUUGUGUUUAGUGGAGCAGCAGCAACUCGUACAUGUUCAUCUCACACCUGCCAGUGUAGCCACCCUUAUCUCACAAGCAAGGGAUGAUUUCUUCUACAGUGUCUUCUUCAAUCUAUUCUCGCCAAGAUAUGGACACGGCUUUGCACUUGUGGAUUCCUUCGGUGCUGCGUGUGUCAGAGUGAGAUUCCCACUGCAGCAGCUCGGGUCAAGUCUUGCCCAUGCCCUAAGCCGUAGGUCUGCUUUUUAGGCAAUUUAUGCUUUUGUCAUGUUUCCGCUUCACUUCAUUUUCAUUCUGGUGCUCAGCGUGAAAUGGAGAGGACUGUAUUUCAUUGUUAAACUUCCUUUGCAGAAAUAUAUCUAUCUAGAAUAUAAAUUCGUUUUC